rnacentral:rRNA from 1 species
UUGGUUUUUGUCCAGGCAUUCAUAGCACAAUGGAACCACUCUGAUCCCAUUCCGAAUUCAGAUGUGAAAUAUUGUAGCGGUGAAAAUACUGCAAGAAAGCUCUUGUGGGAAAAUAACACAAUGCCUAGAC